rnacentral:lncRNA from 1 species
AUGACACCUGAACAGGCUGCUUCACAGGAAAGAAAGACAGAUCUUAAGUAACCCUAAACUUGAAAAAUAUGCAGGAAGCAUGUCUGCCAUUUACUCUAGAGGGAGACAUUAUCUGUAUCUUUGAAGACUGUAAGUAAGCCUGUCCUUUGCUCCACGGCUCUGAGAGUCUACCUUCCAACAUUCUUUAAAAGUUUCGGAUUAUGAAAUAAAAUGCUGUUCAUCCACUGAAGAACAGACCCUUGCUUCCUGCACUAUCUUCAAAAGUUUAGGUCGGAGGAGCUUUGGAUGAGGGGCACUGGAUAGCUGGGGAAGACGCAAGAGGGAGAAUUGCUUUACAACCCUUUGGCUAUUGUCACUCCAGUUCCUAGCUUAAAACUGUACGGGACAUUUCCAGUAUAGAGCCUGCUGAGAAUGAACAUGAAAUCAAGGACAUUACCUGAUGAUGGAUUAUGUAGAUGGCGAAGGUGUGGUGGCACGGAGACCUCUUGGUGACCAGGCCGGACACUGAGCAAUCUGUCCAGCAGCUUAUCAGAAGAAGACACAGUCCAAACUUUGUAGGAAAAUACCUGAUUAGAAUCACUCUUCCAGGGGUUAUCUAGUAACAUCUGGCAGCCAGUUCUGUUAUUUAAUAAAUCCUGCUCACUUCGA